AUGCUACGAUCAAAACAUACAGGCAUUAAAGAUGCAAGUGAUAAGAAGAUCUUGGUUGACAUGCUGUUCUGGGCUAUUGACAAUCCUCCACCAGCAAAUUAUCUGCUUAUCUCUGGUGACCGGGACUUCUCUCAUGCCAUUCAUAAGCUUAAAAUGAGGCGAUACAAUAUUUUAUUGGCACAACCUCCAAACUUGUCUCAAACACUUACUGCUGCAGCAAAGAGUGUUUGGCUCUGGAAAAGCCUUGUGGCUGGAGAACCACCAUUAGAACAGUCACCAUACAUAAGCAGCACAUCUUGUGGCAAUAAGGAUGAUUUGGCUACAUCAAGGAACAUAGUUUCUCGUUCUUUGGAUGUGACUCAAGAUGCCAACCCUGAAGUGCAGAAUAUUUUGUGUGAUCGUCAAAGCGGUUCUAACGGCAUGGCAGAUAAGAAAUGUGAAGUUAAGCGACCUCGAGAAAUGGAGACAGACAAUGUGUCCAAACCAGCAAGCAAAAAGCAGCUGAAGAAGAUGAGUGGGCUGGCAAAUACCAGCACUAAGCAAACUGCUGUCAAGAAACCAACACAAGGGCAACUAAAAGCAGUCAAGGGGCAGGGCUUGAUCUGCUAUAAGUGUGGUGAUGGGCACCGUGCUGCAGAGUGCACCUUUAGUGGUGACUGCCACGGUUGUGGCCGACAGGGCCACAAGGACCGAGUGUGCAAAGUGAAUCCUAACAGCAUCGUCAAGUGGCAGCCGGCACAUGCACAAGACUUAGUCACGCCCUCACCGGGGUCUGUCUCCCGGCAGGCAGCCCCUCAUGUGCCUUCUCCACCUCCAGCUUCCCCCGUCGCGGCUGCGUCACCACAGACAACUGCUGAAACUCCUUCUGGCCCAACUUCGACACCACCACGGGAGUGCUUCUUGCAGGAGACUCCUGCCGUGUCAACCCCACCUCCGGCUUCUGCGGCUCCUGUACCGCCACAUACUGGUGUUAGCGAUUUUUCUGCCCCAGCUCACUCUGGAGUCUAUGCCAUGCCGACAGCUGUGUCAAUGGGUAAACCAGACGUGGUGACGCAGCAGACAUCUUCAGCCCCUCAUCCUCCUACGGCGGUUCUAGCUCACCGGCCAAUGGCAGGACCAGGACAGUAUCAUCAAGUGGGUGCUUCUCGGCCGUUUCCAGCUUGGACACCACCACCAUGGUGCUUCUUGCAGGCGCCUCCUGCUGUGCUGAGUCCACCUCCGGCUCCUGUGCCGCCACAUACGGGUGAUGGAAAAUUUUCUGCCCCAGCUCACUCUGGAGUCUACACCAUGUCAACAGCUGUGUCAUUGGGUAAACCAGAUGUGAUGACGCAAUGGGCAUCUUCAGCCCCUCAUCCUCCUACGGCAGUUCUAGCAGCUCACCGAUCAGUCACAGGACAGUAUAAUCAAGUGGGUGCUUCUCAGCUGCAACCUGCAUCUUCAGCCCCUCGUCCUCCUACGGCAGUUCUAGCUCACCAAUCAGCCGCAGGACAGUAUCAUCAAGUGGGUGCUUCUCAGCUGCAUCUGGCAUCUUCAGCCCCUCAUCCUCCUACGGCGGUUCUAGCUCACCAACCAGUCGCAGGACAGUAUCAUCAAGUGGGUGCUUCUCAGCUGCAUCUAGCUUGGACUUUUCCUCCGGGCUACUUCUGGCAGGCAAUGCAGCUUCUCCUGCAGCAGCGCCGCUCGUGA
rnacentral:rRNA from 1 species